rnacentral:rRNA from 1 species
GGCAGGGCCUGAAAGUCUCACAUGCAGUCGAACGGAAGGCCCUUCGGGGUACUCGAGUGGCGAACGGGUGAGUAACACGUGGGUGAUCUGCCCUGCACUUUGGGAUAAGCCUGGGAAACUGGGUCUAAUACCGGAUAGGACCACGCGCUUCAUGGUGUGUGGUGGAAAGCUUUUGCGGUGUGGGAUGGGCCCGCGGCCUAUCAGCUUGUUGGUGGGGUAAUGGCCUACCAAGGCGACGACGGGUAGCCGGCCUGAGAGGGUGACCGGCCACACUGGGACUGAGAUACGGCCCAGACUCCUACGGGAGGCAGCAGUGGGGAAUAUUGCACAAUGGGCGCAAGCCUGAUGCAGCGACGCCGCGUGAGGGAUGACGGCCUUCGGGUUGUAAACCUCUUUCAAUAGGGACGAAGCGCAAGUGACGGUACCUAUAGAAGAAGGACCGGCCAACUACGUGCCAGCAGCCGCGGUAAUACGUAGGGUCCGAGCGUUGUCCGGAAUUACUGGGCGUAAAGAGCUCGUAGGUGGUUUGUCGCGUUGUUCGUGAAAACUCACAGCUUAACUGUGGGCGUGCGGGCGAUACGGGCAGACUAGAGUACUGCAGGGGAGACUGGAAUUCCUGGUGUAGCGGUGGAAUGCGCAGAUAUCAGGAGGAACACCGGUGGCGAAGGCGGGUCUCUGGGCAGUAACUGACGCUGAGGAGCGAAAGCGUGGGGAGCGAACAGGAUUAGAUACCCUGGUAGUCCACGCCGUAAACGGUGGGUACUAGGUGUGGGUUUCCUUCCUUGGGAUCCGUGCCGUAGCUAACGCAUUAAGUACCCCGCCUGGGGAGUACGGCCGCAAGGCUAAAACUCAAAGGAAUUGACGGGGGCCCGCACAAGCGGCGGAGCAUGUGGAUUAAUUCGAUGCAACGCGAAGAACCUUACCUGGGUUUGACAUGCACAGGACGCCGGCAGAGAUGUCGGUUCCCUUGUGGCCUGUGUGCAGGUGGUGCAUGGCUGUCGUCAGCUCGUGUCGUGAGAUGUUGGGUUAAGUCCCGCAACGAGCGCAACCCUUGUCUCAUGUUGCCAGCACGUUAUGGUGGGGACUCGUGAGAGACUGCCGGGGUCAACUCGGAGGAAGGUGGGGAUGACGUCAAGUCAUCAUGCCCCUUAUGUCCAGGGCUUCACACAUGCUACAAUGGCCGGUACAAAGGGCUGCGAUGCCGUGAGGUGGAGCGAAUCCUUUCAAAGCCGGUCUCAGUUCGGAUCGGGGUCUGCAACUCGACCCCGUGAAGUCGGAGUCGCUAGUAAUCGCAGAUCAGCAACGCGACGGUAGAAC